rnacentral:rRNA from 1 species
GAUGAACGCUGGCGGCGUGCCUAAUACAUGCAAGUCGAGCGAACAGACGAGGAGCUUGCUCCUCUGACGUUAGCGGCGGACGGGUGAGUAACACGUGGAUAACCUACCUAUAAGACUGGGAUAACUUCGGGAAACCGGAGCCAAUACCGGAUAAUAUAUUGAACCGCAUGGUUCAAUAGUGAAAGACGGUUUUGCUGUCACUUAUAGAUGGAUCCGCGCCGCAUUAGCUAGUUGGUAAGGUAACGGCUUACCAAGGCAACGAUGCGUAGCCGACCUGAGAGGGUGAUCGGCCACACUGGAACUGAGACACGGUCCAGACUCCUACGGGAGGCAGCAGUAGGGAAUCUUCCGCAAUGGGCGAAAGCCUAACGGAGCAACGCCGCGUGAGUGAUGAAGGUCUUCGGAUCGUAAAACUCUGUUAUUAGGGAAGAACAAAUGUGUAAGUAACUAUGCACGUCUUGACGGUACCUAAUCAGAAAGCCACGGCUAACUACGUG